rnacentral:rRNA from 1 species
UACGGGGGGAGCAAGCGUUGUUCGGAUUUACUGGGCGUAGAGGGCGCGUAGGCGGCCAGCACAAGUCAGUUGUGAAAUCUCCGAGCUUAACUCGGAAAGGUCAACUGAUACUGUGCGGCUAGAGUGCGGAAGGGGCAACCGGAAUUCUUGGUGUAGCGGUGAAAUGCGUAGAUAUCAAGAGGAACACCUGCGGCGAAGGCGGGUUGCUGGGCCGACACUGACGCUGAGGCGCGAAAGCUAGGGGAGCGAACGGG